CCAGCUGGUAGAGCAGAGGACUGAAAAUCCUCGUGUCACCAGUUCAAAU
rnacentral:tRNA from 1 species